AAGUCGUAACAAGGUUUCCGUAGGUGAACCUGCGGAAGGAUCAUUAUCAACGUAUCCACGUUUAUAAACCAAAUUACGCGCACUGUUAUCAUUUCACCUUUGGGUUAUCGGCCGCUAUCAGUUGACACAUAUGGAGUUCAUUGUAUGGUUAUGGGCUCGUCCUGAUAAUUUAAGGCUGUCUCUCCAAAGCGUAGUUAAUCAUACGUUAUCUUAUUAACCAAUUGAACCCUUUUUUUAUUUAUUUUUGUUUGAACUGAUUUGUUUCUUUACUUGGCGCCUCACAACGUCGAGAAGGAAAAUAAAUUACGAAACAAUAAAGAACAACUCUUAGCAACGGAUAUCUUGGUUCUC
rnacentral:misc_RNA from 1 species